AUUCAAUCAUGAUAUACAAUUUGGUUAUUCCAUCUUAUAUCUACUAAAUACUCUAUGUCCUCGUAUCCCUAAUUGGAGGUGGUGUUUACCUAGACCUGGAGUGAUAUCGAUCAUCGAGGCGACGAACUCUGUCACUGUCGUCAUUCCCGUCUAGCGAUUCUAGCAUUGUUGCUCUGGUCGUCGUCCCUAACAGCGGCCUUCUAGGAAAGCUUAUUCUUCAGAUAUGUCGUACCACCCCUUCGACCCAAAUCGAUACCCCUAAAUUGCUUUAUUUUUUUCGCUGUUGAAUCGCAUAUACGAUUAUACGAAUAUAUAUGUGAUUUUUUCGAUGACAGCUUAUCUGUGUGAAUUUGUUGUAUGAGGCGAGAAAUCCCCAUUUAUUCAGGGGUAUAUGGAGAAGACAAUCUUUGAG
rnacentral:lncRNA from 1 species